rnacentral:rRNA from 1 species
AGUGAACGCUGGCGGCAGGCCUAACACAUGCAAGUCGAGCGGCCGCGCGGGGGCAACCCUGGCGGCGAGCGGCGGACGGGUGAGGAAUUCGUCGGAAUCUGCCUUUUUGUGGGGGAUAACGUAGGGAAACUUACGCUAAUACCGCAUACGUCCUACGGGAGAAAGUGGGGGAUCGCAAGGCCUCACGCAGAAAGAUGAGCCGGCGACCGAUUAGCUAGUUGGUGGGGUAAAGGCCCACCAAGGCGACGAUCGGUAGCUGGUCUGAGAGGAUGAUCAGCCACACUGGGACUGAGACACGGCCCAGACUCCUACGGGAGGCAGCAGUGGGGAAUAUUGGACAAUGGGCGCAAGCCUGAUCCAGCCAUGCCGCGUGUGUGAAGAAGGCCUUCGGGUUGUAAAGCACUUUUGUCCGGAAAGAAAUCCCUGGAGCUAAUACCUUCGGGGGAUGACGGUACCGGAAGAAUAAGCACCGGCUAACUUCGUG